rnacentral:rRNA from 1 species
AGUGAAGCGGCAACAGCUCAAAUUUGAAAUCUGGCUUAGGCCCGAGUUGUAAUUUGCAGAGGAUGCUUCUGGCGAGGUACCUACCGAGUUCCCUGGAACGGGACGCCACAGAGGGUGAGAGCCCCGUAUGGUAGGACACCGAGCCUGUGUGAAGCUCCUUCAACGAGUCGAGUAGUUUGGGAAUGCUGCUCUAAAUGGGAGGUAAAUCUCUUCUAAAGCUAAAUACCGGCCAGAGACCGAUAGCGCACAAGUAGAGUGAUCGAAAGAUGAAAAGCACCUUGAAAAGGGGGUUAAAUAGUACGUGAAAUUGUUGAAAGGGAAGCACUUAUGACCAGACUUGGGCCGGGCGGCUCAUCAGGGGUUCUCCCCUGUGCACUCCGCCCGGCACAGGCCAGCAUCGGUUCUCGUGGGGGGAUAAGACCGUCAGGAACGUAGCACCCUCCGGGGUGUGUUAUAGCCUGGCGGACGAUACCCCCGUGGGGACCGAGGUCCGCGCUCCGCAAGGAUGCUGGCGUAAUGGUCAUCAGUGACCCGUCUUGAAACACGGACCAAGGAGUCGUCCAUUAGAGCGAGCGUUUGGGUGUAAAACCCGCACGCGUAAUGAAAGUGAACGCAGGUGAGAGCUUCGGCGCAUCAUCGACCGAUCCUGAUGUUCUCGGAAGGAUUUGAGUAAGAGUUUUAACGGACGGACCCGAAAGACAGUGAACUAUGCUUGUAUAGGGUGAAGCCAGAGGAAACUCUGGUGGAGGCUCGCAGCGGUUCUGACGUGCAAAUCGAUCGUCAAAUAUGAGCAUGGGGGCGAAAGACUAAUCGAACUGUCUAGUAGCUGGUUACCGCCGAAGUUUCCCUCAGGAUAGCAGUGUUGAUCUUCAGUUUUAUGAGGUAAAGCGAAUGAUUAGGGACUCCGGGGGCUAUAUAUUGGCCUUCAUCCAUUCCUCAAACUUUAAAUAUGUAAGAAAGCCCUUGCUUACUUAAUUUGAACGUGGGGCAUUCCAAAUGUACCAACCACUAGGGGGGCCAUUUUUUGGGUAAGCAAAAACUGGCCGAUGCCGGAAUGAAACCUAACGCCGGGGUUUAAGGCGCCCAAAUUGU